rnacentral:rRNA from 1 species
UACGGGGGGGGCAAGCGUUGUUCGGAAUUACUGGGCGUAAAGGGCUCGUAGGCGGCCAACUAAGUCAGACGUGAAAUCCCUCGGCUCAACCGGGGAACUGCGUCUGAUACUGGAUGGCUUGAGUUUGGGAGAGGGAUGCGGAAUUCCAGGUGUAGCGGUGAAAUGCGUAGAUAUCUGGAGGAACACCGGUGGCGAAGGCGGCAUCCUGGACCAACACUGACGCUGAGUGAGCGAAAGCCAGGGGAGCAAACGGG